AGAGUUUGAUCAUGGCUCAGAACGAACGCUGGCGGCAUGCCUAACACAUGCAAGUCGAACGAACCCUUCGGGGUUAGUGGCGCACGGGUGCGUAACACGUGGGAAUCUGCCCUUUGCUUCGGAAUAACAGUUAGAAAUGACUGCUAAUACCGGAUGAUGUCGUAAGACCAAAGAUUUAUCGGCAAAGGAUGAGCCCGCGUAGGAUUAGGUAGUUGGUGGGUAAAGGCCUACCAAGCCGACGAUCCUUAGCUGGUCUGAGAGGAUGAUCAGCCACACUGGGACUGAGACACGGCCCAGACUCCUACGGGAGGCAGCAGUGGGGAAUAUUGGACAAUGGGCGAAAGCCUGAUCCAGCAAUGCCGCGUGAGUGAUGAAGGCCUUCGGGUUGUAAAGCUCUUUUACCAGGGAUGAUAAUGACAGUACCUGGAGAAUAAGCUCCGGCUAACUCCGUG
rnacentral:rRNA from 1 species